rnacentral:rRNA from 1 species
UACGUAGGGGGCAAGCGUUGUCCGGAAUUAUUGGGCGUAAAGAGCUCGUAGGCGGUUUGUCGCGUCUGCUGUGAAAACUCGGGGCUUAACUCCGGGCCUGCAGUGGGUACGGGCAGACUAGAGUGCGGUAGGGGAGACUGGAAUUCCUGGUGUAGCGGUGAAAUGCGCAGAUAUCAGGAGGAACACCGAUGGCGAAGGCAGGUCUCUGGGCCACUACUGACGCUGAGAAGCGAAAGCAUGGGGGAGCGAACAGG